CGCUGCGGUGCGCCUAACACAUGCAAGUCGAGCGGGAAGUUUUUUGAAGCUUGCUUCAGAAAGACGGAUAGCGGCGAACGGGUGAGUAACACGUUGGUAUCUGCCCCUUGGUCAGGGAUAGCCAGAAGAAAUUCUGAAUUAAUACCGGAUAGUCGCUUUGGAGUAAAAAUUUAUUGCUUGGGGAGUGGCCUGCGUUCUAUCAGCUAGUUGGUGAGGUAAUAGCUCACCAAGGCUAUGACGGAUACCUGGUCUGAGAGGAUGAUCAGGCACAAUGGAACUGAGACACGGUCCAUACUCCUACGGGAGGCAGCAGUGAGGAAUCUUCCACAAUGGACGAAAGUCUGAUGGAGCGACACCGCGUGAAGGAUGAAGGCCUAACGGUUGUAAACUUCUUUUCUGAAGGAGCAUAAUGAGAGUACUUCAGGAAUAAGGGACGGCUAAAUACGUGCCAGCAGCCGCGGUAAUACGUAUGUCCCAAGCGUUACCCGGAAUCACUGGGUGUAAAGGGUUCGUAGGUGGAAAUUUAAGUCAGGUAUGAAAGACCGGAGCUCAACUCCGAGUUUGUGCUUGGAAACCGGGUUUCUAGAAUCAGGGAGAGGUAAGCGGAAUUCUAAGUGUAGGGGGUGCAAUCCGUAGAUACUUAGAGGAACACCAAAAGCGAAGGCAGCUUACUGGGAACUAUAUUGACGCUGAGGAACGAAAGCGUGGGGAGCGAAAAGGAUUAGAUACCCUUGUAGUCCACGCCCUAAACGAUGAUAACUUANUGNUGGGAGUAAUCCCAGUGCUGAAGCUAACGCGAUAAGU
rnacentral:rRNA from 1 species